rnacentral:rRNA from 1 species
UANGUAAUCUGCUCAUGAAUAUUCAAUAGCCGCAAAUUCUGUGCUAAGGUAGCAUAAUCAUUCGUUUUUUAAUUGAAAACUAGAACAAAAGAUUUAAUAUUUUAAAAAAUAUCACUAAUUUAUUAUAUCAAAUUAUUUUAAGUAUAUAAAAAAUACUUAUAAAAAAGAAAGACGACAAGACCCUAUUGAACUUAACUAUAGUUAAACUGGGGCAGUUAAUUAAUUAAAAUUUUAAUUAAAAUCUUUAUUAAAUUGACCUAAUAUAAUUAAUUAUAUAAUAAAGUUACCAUAGGGAUAACAGCAUAAUAUUUAUUUAAAGUUCUUAUAUAAAUAAAAGAUUAUGACCUCGAUGUUGAAUUAAUAACCUAAAUUAAGAAAAAUUAAUAUAAGGAAGUCUGUUCGACUUUUAAAAAAUUACAUGAUCUGAGUCAAAACCCGGAGA